rnacentral:rRNA from 1 species
GUCCUACGGGGCGCAGCAGUGGGGAAUAUUGCACAAUGGGGGAAACCCUGAUGCAGCAACGCCGCGUGAGUGAGGAAGUAUUUCGGUAUGUAAAGCUCUAUCAGCAGGGAAUAGAAAAGAAGGUACCUGAAAAAGAAGCCCCGGCUAACUACGUGCCAGCAGCCGCGGUAAUACGGAGGAUGCGAGCGUUAUCCGGAUUUAUUGGGUUUAAAGGGUGCGUAGGCGGAUUUUUAAGUCAGCGGUAAAAUGUCCGGGCUCAACCCGGGCCGGCCGUUGAAACUGGGGAUCUUGAGUGGGCGAGAAGU